GUACUUUUUUGGCCGCAAAUACGUCUCUCUGAGAAGUACAGAAAAAUUGAACUUUUCGAUCGUAAAAUGCGUGUCGAAAUCCAUCGAAUUUCAGUCUUCAAGCACAAAAAUAACUUUUACAUGACUAGCGAUAAAAAGAUUAAAAGUAGAGUUUUCGUGUGAAUUUUGUUGAUCCGAGGCGAAGCCGAGGUCAAUAAACACACGAAAACGAGACUUUUCAUCUUUUUAUCCCGAGUUAUGUAAUGGAUUUUACAUGCUAAGG